AUGCAGUCGAACGAUGAUGCCCAGCUUGCUGGGCGGAUUAGUGGCGAACGGGUGAGUAAUACGUGAGUAACCUGCCCUUGACUCUGGGAUAAGCCUGGGAAACUGGGUCUAAUACUGGAUACUACCGUCCACCGCAUGGUGGGUGGUGGAAAGGGUUUUACUGGUUUUGGAUGGGCUCACGGCCUAUCAGCUUGUUGGUGGGGUAAUGGCUCACCAAGGCGACGACGGGUAGCCGGCCUGAGAGGGUGACCGGCCACACUGGGACUGAGACACGGCCCAGACUCCUACGGGAGGCAGCAGUGGGGAAUAUUGCACAAUGGGCGGAAGCCUGAUGCAGCGACGCCGCGUGAGGGAUGACGGCCUUCGGGUUGUAAACCUCUUUCAGUAGGGAAGAAGCGAGAGUGACGGUACCUGCAGAAGAAGCGCCGGCUAACUACGUGCCAGCAGCCGCGGUAAUACGUAGGGCGCAAGCGUUGUCCGGAAUUAUUGGGCGUAAAGAGCUCGUAGGCGGUUUGUCGCGUCUGCUGUGAAAGCCCGGGGCUCAACCCCGGGUCUGCAGUGGGUACGGGCAGACUAGAGUGCAGUAGGGGAGACUGGAAUUCCUGGUGUAGCGGUGAAAUGCGCAGAUAUCAGGAGGAACACCGAUGGCGAAGGCAGGUCUCUGGGCUGUUACUGACGCUGAGGAGCGAAAGCAUGGGGAGCGAACAGGAUUAGAUACCCUGGUAGUCCAUGCCGUAAACGUUGGGCACUAGGUGUGGGGGACAUUCCACGUUUUCCGCGCCGUAGCUAACGCAUUAAGUGCCCCGCCUGGGGAGUACGGCCGCAAGGCUAAAACUCAAAGGAAUUGACGGGGGCCCGCACAAGCGGCGGAGCAUGCGGAUUAAUUCGAUGCAACGCGAAGAACCUUACCAAGGCUUGACAUUCACCGGACCGCCCCAGAGAUGGGGUUUCCCUUCGGGGCUGGUGGACAGGUGGUGCAUGGUUGUCGUCAGCUCGUGUCGUGAGAUGUUGGGUUAAGUCCCGCAACGAGCGCAACCCUCGUUCUAUGUUGCCAGCACGUGAUGGUGGGGACUCAUAGGAGACUGCCGGGGUCAACUCGGAGGAAGGUGGGGAUGACGUCAAAUCAUCAUGCCCCUUAUGUCUUGGGCUUCACGCAUGCUACAAUGGCCGGUACAAAGGGUUGCGAUACUGUGAGGUGGAGCUAAUCCCAAAAAGCCGGUCUCAGUUCGGAUUGAGGUCUGCAACUCGACCUCAUGAAGUCGGAGUCGCUAGUAAUCGCAGAUCAGCAACGCUGCGGUGAAUACGUUCCCGGGCCUUGUACACACCGCCCGUCAAGUCACGAAAGUUGGUAACACCCGAAGCCGGUGGCCUAACCCCUUGUGGGAGGGAGCCGUCGAA
rnacentral:rRNA from 1 species